UAGGGAAUCUUCCACAAUGGACGAAAGUCUGAUGGAGCAACGCCGUGUGAGUGAAGAAGGGUUUCGGCUCGUAAACUCUGUUGUUAAAGAAGAACAUAUCUGAGAGUAACUGUUCAGGUAUUGACGGUAUUUAACCAGAAAGCCACGGCUAACUACGUGCCAG
rnacentral:rRNA from 1 species